rnacentral:rRNA from 1 species
UUUAUGGAGAGUUUGAUCCUGGCUCAGGAUUAACGCUGGCGGCGUGCCUAAGAUAUGCAAGUCGAGCGGAGAAUAGUUUGUAGCAAUACAAAUUAGGAUCAGCGGCAGACGGCUGAGUAAUGCUUUGGAAUUUACCUUGAAGUUUAGGAUAGCCUCGCGAAAGUGAGGGUAAUACUAGAUGUGAACUAUGGUUUAAAGGAGAAAUUCGCUUCAAGAGAAGCCAAAGUCCUAUCAGGUAGUUGGUAGGGUAAUUGCCUACCAAGCCUACGACGGGUAGGUGGUCUGAGAGGAUGAUCACCCAGAACGGGACUGAGAUACGGCCCGUACUCCUACGGGAGGCAGCAAUCGGGAAUUUUGCACAAUGGACGAAAGUCUGAUGCAGCGACGCCGCGUGGAGGAAGAAGGCCCUCGGGUUGUAAACUCCUUUUAUCUGUUAGUAAUUCUGAACGACAGAUGAAUAAGCAGCUCCUAACUUCGUGCCAGCAGGAGCGGUGAUACGAAGGCUGCAAGCGUUAUCCGGAAUUACUGGGCGUAAAGAGAUGCGUAGGCUGUAGGAUAAGUUAUCUGUGAAAUUUAUGAGCUUAACUCAUAAUUGCAGAUAAGACUAUUCUACUAGAACCAUAUAGAGGCAAACGGAAUUACUAGUGGAGCAGUUAAAUGCUUUGAUAUUAGUAGGAACACCAAAUGCGAAGGCAGUUUGCUGGGUAUGUGUUGACGCUAAGGCUCGAAAGCGUGGGGAGCGAAACGGAUUAGAUACCCGUGUAGUCCACGCCCUAAAAUUUCCCUGUUAGAUGUUGGUUUUACUUGUAACUUUUCCGCUUGCGGAAUUGGGACUUUUUGUAAGAUCAGUGUCGUAGUUAACGCGUUAAACAGGGCGCCUGGGGAGUACGGUCGCAAGACUGAAACUUAAAGGAAUUGACGGGGACCUGCACAAGCAGCGGAGCGCCUGGUUUAAUUCGAUGAUAAGCGAAGGACCUCACCAAGGCUUGAACUGUAUCUGCAUACUGGGUGAAAGCUCGGUAGCCUUCGAGGGUGAUACAGAGGUGUUGCAUGGCUGUCGUCAGCUCGUGUCGUGAGAUGUCUGGUUAAGUCCAGUAACGAGCGCAACCCCUAUCUGAUGUUAUAAUUUCUUCAGAUACUGCCUGUUUUCAGACGGGAGGAAGGAGGGGACGAUGUCUAGUCAUCAUAGCCCUUAUGUCUUGGGCAACACAGACGCUACAAUGGUAUGGACAAUGCGUAGCCAACCGGCAACGGGGAGCCAAUCGCAUCAAACCUUUCCACAGUAGGGAUAACAGUCUGAAACUCGACUGUUUGAACGUGGAGUUGCUAGUAAUCGCGAAUCAGCUUGUCGCGGUGAAUACGUUCUCGGGUCUUGUACACACCGCCUGUCAAAUCAUGGAAGCCGGCUUUACUGAAAAGUGCAUUAUGUGUAAAUACAGUAGGGUUGGUGACUGGGGUUAAGUCAUAACAAGGUUGCCGUAGGGGAAUCUGCGGCUAAUUAUCUCCUUU